rnacentral:lncRNA from 1 species
GAUUAUCCAUUCCUAAAUCCAAUUAACUCAACAAAUACGUUCAGUUUACAAGAAAACUUUGGCAGUCAUGGUGAUGAAAGAGAUACAAUGGUUUAAGCACCUGAUGAGAUCCUUGAAGUGGCAGUCACCUAGUUUCAUUUACAAGCUUGUUUUAAUUUUUCCUUUUUUCUUUUCUUGUUUUCUUUUGAUCCCUAUUUUUGCAUGGACCGUCUUUUUUUUUUGAAUU